UACGUAGGGUCCGAGCGUUGUCCGGAAUUAUUGGGCGUAAAGGGCUCGUAGGCGGUUCGUCACGUCGGGAGUGAAAACUCGGGGCUUAACCCCCGAGCCUGCUUCCGAUACGGGCAGACUAGAGGUAGGCAGGGGAGAGCGGAACUCCUGGUGUAGCGGUGGAAUGCGCAGAUAUCAGGAAGAACACCGGUGGCGAAGGCGGCUCUCUGGGCCUUACCUGACGCUGAGGAGCGAAAGUGUGGGGAGCGAACAGG
rnacentral:rRNA from 1 species